rnacentral:lncRNA from 1 species
CUUUUUGGAAACCAUGUUUUUCCCUGAGAGCAAUAGCUUUGUGUGGUUUACUGGAACAGUCAAAUUGUGCAACCAUCUAUGACAUUACAAUUUCUUGCUAAGUAAUAUCGACUAUUACGACAGAAAAUAUUAAGUAUGAAAAUCCCCAGCUGUUAGAGAGCAGUGGAAUUUGGGAACUUGCUCCCGAGAAUAAACAUAUUCAUGUCAAAAAUCUUUUUUCUCUCUUUUAAAAUAAUGGUUUCUAAAAAAAACAUUUGAUGCAAAUCCAAGAGACUACGGCCAUCUCAGCCCCAAUUUUCUUUUGCAUGUUAGAUCAUCAGCAGAUCACAGUAAGCAGCAGACUAGUUGAAUUAAUUUUAUUUUCCUUUCUGAGCUAGAGCGCUCUUCUGCAGAUAAACUUGCUGAUUAUCAAUCACUGCAGCACUUUCAGGUUCUUCAGAGUCUACUGAAUUGCUUAUUAUGGUUUGCUUUUCCAUGAGAGUGGAAUACAGGCAAAAUCUGUUGCCUCUCAGGAAAUCUUACUCAGUGAAUUUUAUAGAUACAUAUCUAUGUAGUAAUUUUAUGCAUUUUUUUUUCUUGACGACUGUUACUUGAAGGUACAGAUACGGAAGAUAAGCAGAUAUUUCUGAAUUUAAAUAUGUACAUAAAGGAGAAAGUAUAGUUUCAUUAUUCCCCUUUUCAUUACUCCUUUUCUUUCUUUGUGUAUUCAGUGGCAGUCCCUUUUCAGAAGGAAGAAAUUAUGGACGGAGAGGUGCCUGCAAACAAUACAAAUGAAGCCCUAGUCUGAGAGGAGCAGCACGGGAACACAACUGGCAGUCAGUGGACCACAGACUGGACUUCUUUCUCAUUUGUCUGCCUUUCCUUGCCACCUGCAAGUCUUCCUGUGUAUGAGUCUCAGCCUUUGGGUGUCCUGGUCAAGAAAUCUUCAUUCUCCAAUCAUCAUAAUGCCAGUCCCAGCCUAAAUUGCACUUCCAUCAUGCUCCAAGGUUUCAGGCAGUCAGGGUGGAAGAGAAAAGGCAAACUUAACAUUGCACUACCCAGACUUAAAGGAAUGUAACCUUGUAAAAA